rnacentral:piRNA from 1 species
UCAUUAGGUUUUGUACAGUUGGCUUCUGC